UACGUAGGUGACAAGCGUUGUCCGGAUUUACUGGGCGUAAAGAGCGCGCAGGCGGUCGUGCAAGUCGCGUGUGAAAGCCCCCGGCUCAACUGGGGAGGGUCACGCGAUACUGCUCGACUUGAAGGCAGGAGAGGGAAGUGGAAUUCCCGGUGUAGUGGUGAAAUGCGUAGAUAUCGGGGAGGAACACCAGUGGCGAAGGCGACUUCCUGGCCUGUUCUUGACGCUGAGGCGCGAAAGCUAGGGUAGCAAACGGG
rnacentral:rRNA from 1 species